rnacentral:rRNA from 1 species
AUUGAACGCUGGCGGCAGGCCUAACACAUGCAAGUCGAGCGGAGCGGCGGACGGGUGAGUAAUGCCUAGGAAUCUGCCAGGUAGUGGGGGAUAACGUCAGGAAACGGGAGCUAAUACCGCAUACUCUCAGAUGAGCCUAGGUCGGAUUAGCUAGUGGGGGGGGUAAAGUCGUACCAAGGCGACGAUACGUAACUGGUCUGAGAGGAUGAUAAGUCACACGGGAACUGAGACAGGGUCCAGACGCCUACGGGAGUCAGCAGUGGGUAAGAUUGGACAAUGGGCGAAAUCCUGAUCCAGCCAUGCCGCGUGUGUGAAGAAGGUCUUCGGAUUGUAAAGCACUUUAAGUUGGGAGGCGUUACCAACAGAAUAAGCACCGGCUAACUUCGUGCCAGCGGCCGCGGUAAUUC